CACACACAGAAUAGUGACAUUUAAAUGCACAAACAUUUUGACGAGAAUAUAAAAAAUCACAAUUAAAUAUUUUUUUUAUUAUUUAUUUAAUAUAAUUUGAAUCUGGUCAUUAAUUGGGUCAAAACCCUUACAAUCUCAAAUUUAAAACCAUUUGAAAUUAACCCUAAAUUUAAAAUUAAAAUUAGGUCCUCCAAAUUCUCAAAUUACAAGCAGGCCCUCGCUUGAAAUAAUUGCAACAUGACCCCAAUUUUUAAUUGCAGAAAGGAGCCUCUAAUCUCAUAUAUUGCAAGAGAGGCACCCGUCCCGAAAUCUAUCAUAGCCGACCAAAACAUUCUCCAAAAUCCAAAAUAUAAAACUUUUCAGUGCAUCCAAUAAAAGUUUAUGAUAUCCACGAUGCGAAAAUCUUAGUUUCCACCAAAAAAAAUAAAUAGCAAUAAUUUUAUUCAUUUAUUUAUUUGUUUCACUCAACCGGGAGCUAAAUUAUACCAGAAUUUCACUCCAAUAGAAACCCUAACUUCAACAAUCAUUCAGUUCAUGUUUAAAUUCAGAUUUCUGAAUUUUUGUCUAAUUAGCAAAAGCAAAAUCCAAACCCUAGUGGGGUUUGUAGUCGGGUGAUGUGAAUUGGUUGGUGGGUCCGACCCGUCGUAAUAGUGAAACCCUGAAGAUGCAAAAAACUGCAAAACCUAUAGAUACAACAUAUAUAGAUAUUUACACACAUAGAAAAAUUUGAUUCAUGUAUGGUUUUGGUUUGGUUUUUGUUUUACUCUUUCCAACACAAUAUGGUGGACAGUCAAUCAUGUCAUGGAAUUUUGUGUAUAUAAAUAAGAUGAAUGCCAUACAUACACAGAAAAAGAUAAAAGCAAGAAAAUUGGUUGACUGCGUGAAUUAAAAAACUACAGCACGUUAUUCUUGGUACUUGUAGAGAAAUAUAAUAAUAAUGACAAUUGGCAAUUACACCAGAAAAAACUGAUUAAAAAAAAUUGACGUUGGGCAUACCUUUGUUUCUUUCUCGUAACAAGUUUUAAUGGUCAGUAGGUAAUUUAAAUUUGUGUUGUUUUUUAUAAAGGAUUUUGAUCUUAGCACGAAGGCUCUGAUACCAAUUGUUAAAUUUUAAUUUGUAAUUAUGCUAAGAAUCAAGAAUUACCAAAUAAUAAAUUAAUAAACCAAAUUCAUACCUGCGAAAGCCAUUGUUGAUAUGAAUAGUAGUUGUAAUAGCAGUUAAGAUUUUUCUCUCCUUACUCCUCACAAAAGUAUUAGCUAUCAAUGGGGCAAGCUAAUGAAAACAUAUGGAGAGGAGAGGGGACCUAGCCUUUAUAUAUAUGAAAUAAUUUGAGCC
rnacentral:lncRNA from 1 species